rnacentral:lncRNA from 1 species
CCACUCUCUUUGCCUUUUCACAGAGCCAUCCAACCCACCAAAGAGCAUUAGUGCAUAUGUUAUGGUUCAGACUCUGUUUUCCAGGGCACUCAAGCUAAGAGAGUGGGGAAAUAAGAGAAUAUGAGAAAGACAUUCCAUUAUGGAAUAUCUACUUGUUCCAUUUUUAUACAAAAAUUUUAAAAUCUGCUCUAGAUAUUUUAAAUGAAAAAAUAAAAAUAAUUUAACAUGUUGAAAAUUUAACCCGACUUUGCAGAGCUGGGAGAAAUAUUGUCAGAAACUAUUGGUCUUGCUGAAAGAAAAGUUAUAAUACGUGGAUUCUCCAUUCCAGAUCAGCUGCCAAACCAGGGCAGGCAGAGAAUUCCAUAUGCAGGUUUCUUCAGCACAGUGGAGUGAGAUUAAGCAUGUAACACCUCAUCCAAGUUACAGACUGUGCAUUAGUAGAAGAAAAGAUCAUUUGGAACCAAGAAAGGAAAUACUGAAGCUGGAAGAAAGAUCUUCCCAUUUUUAAAGCAAUGUUUUCAAAGAACCCCAAGACCUGGUACUGUGGGUUGAAUUGUGUUCCCCAAUAAAAUAUAUUGGAGCCCUACCUCA